GGAGAGGCUGUGCUGUGGGGCAGGCGCAGGCCUGAGCCCUGGUUUCGGGCUGCCUGGGUCUCUGGCCUGCGCGUGACUUUGGGGUGGCU
rnacentral:pre_miRNA from 10 species